UCCCUCUUAGCUCAGUGGUAGAGCGCAUCACUAGUAUUUGGCAUGCUAUGAUGAGGUCAGUCGUUCAAGUCGGCUAGAGGGAA